UACGUAGGGGGCAAGCGUUGUCCGGAAUCAUUGGGCGUAAAGAGCGUGUAGGCGGCCAGAUAAGUCCGCUGUGAAAUCUCGAGGCUCAACUUCGAGCUGUCGGUGGAAACUGUCUGGCUAGAGUCCGGAAGAGGAGACUGGAAUUCCUGGUGUAGCAGUGAAAUGCGUAGAUAUCAGGAGGAAUACCGAUGGCGAAGGCAGGUCGCUGGGACGGUACUGACGCUGAGACGCGAAAGCGUGGGGAGCAAACAGG
rnacentral:rRNA from 1 species